GGAUCGGAGUCUGCAACUCGCCUACAUGAAGUCGGAAUCGCUAGUAAUCGCGGAUCAGCAUGCCGCGGUGAAUACGUUCCCGGGCCUUGUACACACCGCCCGUCACACCAUGAGAGUUUGUAACACCCAAAGCCGGUGGGGUAACCUUUUGGAGCCAGCCGUCUAAGGUGGGACAGAUGAUUAGGGUGAAGUCGUAACAAGGUAAC
rnacentral:rRNA from 1 species